CAGUAGCCACGGUAAUACAGAGGGUGCGAGCGUUAAUCGGAUUUACUGGGCGUAAAGCGUGCGUAGGCGGCUUUUUAAGUCGGAUGUGAAAUCCCUGAGCUUAACUUAGGAAUUGCAUUCGAUACUGGGAAGCUAGAGUAUGGGAGAGGAUGGUAGAAUUCCAGGUGUAGCGGUGAAAUGCGUAGAGAUCUGGAGGAAUACCGAUGGCGAAGGCAGCCAUCUGGCCUAAUACUGACGCUGAGGUACGAAAGCAUGGGGAGCAAACAGGAUUAGAUACCCCUGUAGUCCCUGUCUCUUAACA
rnacentral:rRNA from 1 species